GAUGAACGCUGGCGGCGUGCCUAAUACAUGCAAGUCGAGCGAACAGACGAGGAGCUUGCUCCUCUGUCGUUAGCGGCGGACGGGUGAGUAACACGUGGAUAACCUACCUAUAAGACUGGGAUAACUUCGGGAAACCGGAGACAAUACCGGAUAAUAUAUUGAACCGCAUGGUUCAAUAGUGAAAGACGGUUUUGCUGUCACUUAUAGAUGGAUCCGCGCCGCAUUAGCUAGUUGGUAAGGUAACGGCCUACCAAGGCGACGAUGCGUAGCCGACCUGAGAGGGUGAUCGGCCACACUGGAACUGAGACACGGUCCAGACUCCUACGGGAGGCAGCAGUAGGGAAUCUUCCGCAAUGGGCGAAAGCCUGACGGAGCAACGCCGCGUGAGUGAUGAAGGUCUUCGGAUCGUAAAGCUCUGUUAUUAGGGAAGAACAGAUGUGUAAUUAACCAUGCCCGUCUUGACGGUACCUAAUCAAAAAGCCACGGCUAACUACGUG
rnacentral:rRNA from 1 species